GGCCUCCUCGCCCGACCCCCGACCCCGGGCCAGGUGUCUUCAGAAUUCGGCAAAGUAGAUGGGACUGCAGACGUUACCAUUCCCUGUGACUCUUGCUACGAUCUUACAGACUUCAUUGUGCUGGGCUUAGAUGUCUUCAGAGUCACCAGCUUUGUUUUUCAGUUCCAUGAAAUCAGCCUGCCUUUUCUUUUUUUGGUGAUACAUCCACAUUCUGUAUAGGUGAAAAGCAAAACAAACAAGUAUAAAACGAAAAUUAUGUAAGAAGUACACACAUCCUAGCAGCUUGGCAAGUGUCUGUAUGCUCUUGCCUGUGCCUAAAUCCAGAAUUAGAAUUCAUGCUUGGUGCUCCUGUGGAAGAUGUCUAAAUGUUAUGAGAAAUACAUGAUUAAAUAAAAAUGUGAAAUGAAAGCAUGGAGACUUGUUGAAGGGGUAUCCACCAUGAUUAUAUAUGAUGGGGAGGAAAGGGAUUACUCCAUUUCUGCCCCUGCAGUCUGUAGGCAUGAUUGAUUACAUCAUUGGUCGCCGGUGAUUAACUCAGUCUCCAAGCCCUGUCGUGUCCCUGGAGGUUGGAGGGUGGCACUGAAAGCUCCAACCAUCUCAUCAUGCUUUGAUCUUUCCGAUGACCAGACCCCACCCUGAAGCUAUCUACGGGUCCCCAGCAACAUUCAUUUCGUUAUCAUACAAAUGACAUUCUUACAAUUUCAGAGAUUCCAAGGGCUUUAGGAAAUGGAGAUGAAGAGCAAAUAUAUAUUUCACAAUAUCACAAACAUACCCUUGGGAAUUAGACCUCUGAUCUAAUCUAGGCUCCCUCACUUGCCAUUUUUGUGACCUUGAACAAGUUGUUCAUCUUUUCUGGAUAGUUCUCUGUUAAAAAAAUUAAAAUAAAAAAAUGGUGGCUAUCAGGUUGUUAGGAGGACUAGAUAAGAGAACUAUGUGAAGGACCCUGCACAGUGCUAGCAACAAAGUUGUUUAGUAAGUGCUAUUUCAAUUUAUUUUGCUUCCAAGCUCAUGUGAGCUCCCUCAGUGUGUACCACCAAAUCACAUGAUGUGUAUCCCAGUCAAAUCUUAAAGGUCAUCCACCUUGAAUCUUUAAGUUAAUUAACGUGUGUUUUUAAAACUGCAUUAUAAGAACGUUAGGGUUUUUGUUUUGAUCCUAUGGAAGUUAAAUUUUUUACACAAGCAUUCAACUGUUUAGCUUCAAACUGAACAGAUAAAUAGUCUGUAUUAUUUCAUUAUGUAUUAAAAAAUGAUUAAGCCUGCCUCAGGCAGUUCAGGCAAAGCAGGUAAAAGAUUAUCAAGGAGUAACAUUAGAAAACACUAAUCAGAGUGCCUAAAAAGCUUUAUGCGGUCCAGGUUGUACAGGGAUGUUGGAACAGUAAAACAAACAAAACAUUACAAGGUAUGAAGCGUUCGAGAUAGGUAGAAUAGAGCAGGUUAUAUUAGAGAAGUCUCUUCUAAAAUUGUGUUGGCUAGCCUGGGAUUUGAACUUAUACCGUGUAUGUAUGUCCAUGUGUAACAGGUUGAACAUGCAAGAAGCAGUGUUCAUAAAAGGUGGCAAACUUGUUUUACUUGUUUCUCAGUCUUUUCAGAUCAGUACUUAUAAAACACUGAUAUUUACAGUAAAUAUCUUAUAUUAAAUAUUAGCUAACCCUAUUAAA
ensembl:lncRNA MIR30D and MIR30B host gene